GACGAACGCUGGCGGCGUGCUUAACACAUGCAAGUCGAACGGUGAAGCGCCUUCCUUUUUGGUGGGUGUGGAUGAGUGGCGAACGGGUGAGUAACACGUGAGUAACCUGCCCCCUUCUUCUGGAUAACCGCAUGAAAGUGUGGCUAAUACGGGAUAUUCUGGGUCUGUCGCAUGAUGGGUCUGGGAAAGAUAUUGUUUCGGUGGGGGAAGGGCUCGCGGCCUAUCAGCUUGUUGGUGGGGUGAUGGCCUACCAAGGCGGUGACGGGUAGCCGGCCUGAGAGGGUGGACGAUCACACUGGGACUGAGACACGGCCCAGACUCCUACGGGAGGCAGCAGUGGGGAAUAUUGCACAAUGGGCGCAAGCCUGAUGCAGCGACGCCGCGUGAGGGAUGGAGGCCUUCGGGUUGUGAACCUCUUUCGCCAGUGAAGCAGGCCUGCCUCGUUUGUGGGUGGGUUGACGGUAGUUGGAUAAGAAGCGCCGGCUAACUACGUG
rnacentral:rRNA from 1 species